ensembl:lncRNA
GCCGCCGCCGCCGCCGCCGCGUCCCUCCCGGGCCGGUCCGUGCCUCCUGCCCUCCCCGCCAGGCCCGCUCCCCCGCAGGGCCUGCUGCCCACCUGUGCUCUCCACCCACACCACACCCGCACAUCCCUCGUGGCCCGACAGGUCCUUGAAGCUCACCCAAGACCCCCACUGGCCCCAGCAGCCCAGAUCCAAAAAAAAAAAAAAAAAAAAAAAAAAGGCUCUCUCGGGAUCACCUGAACCAGAGCUUGGAAAAACCCGCGGGGAAGAUCGUUUGGGUUUCGUUGUUUGCAAAGGCUGGCGGGCUGGGGGGGGGGGGGCGGACGGUGGCACCCCAUGCCCGAGACGGCCCCGUCAGGUCGCUGGCGCUGACUUGAAGCCUGGGAGGAUAGCCUCUUUCUGCACAGGGAACUGACUCGGGUUUGGAGCCCGCAGCUGAGGGCGCUGGGCGUGCGUCCUCAAUCCUCCUGCGGUCAGCAAUGCAGUGGCUUCGUCUGCUUUGAGUCGGAGGUCGAUUCUUACGAUUAAAGUCGAGCUGAUGUCCAAUGUUUCUUCCAGGGGUCUUGGUCCGCCAAGGGACCCACUCGCAGACAUUUCCCGCGCUGUACCGGCGGCUCCCGUGGCCCAUCCAUUCCACACAGCGCAGGUGGCAUCCACAGAGCAGCCCAGGGGCCCAUCCCCAUCCAUCCCAGGGCAGCCCCUUUCCCCCACCUGCCAAGCCCAAGUGUGUGCUCCUUGCCCACCGUCGGUUUCUGGAGUCUGCGGGUGGGUGUUUAGAUAGCGCCAUCCGUUGCGGCGUUUAGAGUCCACCAACAGGUGAUGUCCUAGGGCACUUGUCUUUGCCUUUCUGGCUUCCUUCGCUUAGUAUGAGGGUCUCUCGUUCCAGCCCCGCGGCGGCAGAUGGCACUCGUUCUGCCGCUUUUUCCUGGCUGUGUGCGAUGCCAUCGCAUGGAUGUCCCCGGGCCUUCGAAGUGCACUCACCUGUCAGUGGACCUUUAGGUGGCUUCCAGAUCUUGGCUCUGCCCCGCGGCGGCAGAUGGCACUCGUUCUGCCGCUUUUUCCUGGCUGUGUGCGAUGCCAUCGCAUGGAUGUCCCCGGGCCUUCGAAGUGCACUCACCUGUCAGUGGACCUUUAGGUGGCUUCCAGAUCUUGGCUCUGGUGAGUAGUGCGGCGACAGACAGAGGGGUGCCCGGGUCUGCUUCCGGGAAAGUUUGGUCCCGGUGAAAUGGAGCUGUUUGGAGGCCGGCUUCGGUCUUUGUGUGGGCCGGCCCGUGUAGGGCUGCUUGGCUGAGACUCUGUCGAGGAGGGAGGCCUUCAGCCACCGGGGCCUCACGGGGCCUCCCCGUGCGGCACCAUCACAGAGCUCUCCGUCACUGCCCCUGGUGGGGGUGAGGGAAGGGGCGUGUUUGGGGGGUGGGGUGGGCGGGGUGUGUGCGCGCGCGCGUGCACGCACGCUGGCGGGCGUGGGUGUCCCGGGGCCUGGCCAGCCCUCCGCUAGAGAUCAGCACGCGUGGAUGCUGACGUGAGGACCAGCAGGGUGACAGGAGAGGCUGCCUGGUGGGUGACCGCGCUGGGCAGAGCCACAACCCGCUCGCCUUUCAGUUCUCCACCCAGGGGCCCCUCCUGCGAGCCACCCAUAGGGGUCCCUGGUCCCUCCCUCAGACGUCGUCUCCACCACGGCCCGAGAUCAUCUUUCUUCUCCAGUGGGUUCCUUGUCUCUUGCGUACCACCCUCUCCACCCC